rnacentral:sRNA from 1 species
AGGUUUGAUGAACGCGGUUCCCGGGGAGACCGUAUGAUUUUUCAAAUUUUUAUCAGUCUAAAUAUAAGAGAAGAACUCUAACCUCCCCAGGUGAUUUGGAGAUCUACUCUGGAGAUAAAAUUGGUUCAUCGUUAAAAUACUCUGAUGAAAGCAAGCAUUGUAGAACACCAUUGGGCAGCUUAUUCAAGCACGUAAAUGUGAAUUGAAACAGGAAACAGAAGAGUUAAUUGAAAAUGAUUAUAGAAUUAGUACCUCCAAAAUAACCAAGCAGUCUUUUAAAGAAAUAGAAAAAGUUGCCUUGCCAACUAAUAAGACCUCAUCGAGACCUCGGACUGAGUUUUGUAGUGAUGCAGGUGACUCUCCUUUGAAACCUGUCAGCUAUCCAAAAUCUAAAGCAUCAGACAAGCGGAGUUUACUUCCACAU